rnacentral:rRNA from 1 species
GACGAACGCUGGCGGCGUGCUUAACACAUGCAAGUCGAACGGAAAGGCCCUGCUUUUGUGGGGUGCUCGAGUGGCGAACGGGUGAGUAACACGUGAGUAACCUGCCCUUGACUUUGGGAUAACUUCAGGAAACUGGGGCUAAUACCGGAUAGGAGCUCCUGCUGCAUGGUGGGGGUUGGAAAGUUUCGGCGGUUGGGGAUGGACUCGCGGCUUAUCAGCUUGUUGGUGGGGUAGUGGCUUACCAAGGCUUUGACGGGUAGCCGGCCUGAGAGGGUGACCGGCCACAUUGGGACUGAGAUACGGCCCAGACUCCUACGGGAGGCAGCAGUGGGGAAUAUUGCACAAUGGGCGGAAGCCUGAUGCAGCAACGCCGCGUGCGGGAUGACGGCCUUCGGGUUGUAAACCGCUUUCGCCUGUGACGAAGCGUGAGAGACGGUAAUGGGUAAGGAAGCACCGGCUAACUACGUG